GACGAAGGGGGCUAGCGUUGUUCGGAAUUACUGGGCGUAAAGCGAGUGUAGGUGGUUGUCAUAGUCAGGUGUGAAAGCCUUGAGCUCAACUCAAGAAAUGCACUUGAUACUGGGCGACUAGAGGACCGGAGAGGAUAGUGGAAUUCCCAGUGUAGUGGUGAAAUACGUAGAGAUUGGGAAGAACACCAGUGGCGAAGGCGGCUAUCUGGACGGUUUCUGACACUAAGACUCGAAAGCGUGGGGAGUAAACAGG
rnacentral:rRNA from 1 species